GGAGGAUUAGCUCAGCUGGGAGAGCACCUGCCUUACAAGCAGGGGGUCGGCGGUUCAAUCCCGUCAUCCUCCACCA
rnacentral:tRNA from 4 species